GUAGUGGGUGUGGGUUCCGACGCGUCUUUUGUUGUGGUAGGCCAAGCUAACUGAAAUUUUGGACACCUUGACUGUACUUCUUACACGCAUGAGGCCAUUUUUUAUUCAUCAUUUGUGAAAGUUGGUGGUCGUAAGCGGUUGAAAUCGGUGUUGCAGACUAGGGCAUCACCAUGAGGCCGCCCGGCAACAUCCUGUACAUCAUUCAGGGCGAGAUGAGCAUACUGCUGACGGCUAUGCGCCGCGGGCCCCGCUGGUCCAACUACGGCAACCAGGACGAGAGCCAGGACAAC